rnacentral:rRNA from 1 species
UACGAAGGGGGCGAGCGUUGCUCGGAAUCACUGGGCGUAAAGCGCACGUAGGCGGAUUGCUAAGUCAGGGGUGAAAUCCUGGAGCUCAACUCCAGAACUGCCUUUGAUACUGGCGACCUUGAGUCCGGGAGAGGUGAGUGGAACUGCGAGUGUAGAGGUGAAAUUCGUAGAUAUUCGCAAGAACACCAGUGGCGAAGGCGGCUCACUGGCCCGGUACUGACGCUGAGGUGCGAAAGCGUGGGGAGCAAACAGG